rnacentral:tRNA from 1 species
AGUGAGAUGGCUCAGUGUGUAAGAGUGCUUGUUGGUCAAGCAAGAUGACUUGAGUUCAAAUCUCCAUCACCCAC